GUGGGGGUAGUUUAUUUAGAAUAGGGUAUUGAAGCCACCCAGGUGGUUGUUACAACCUCUCCAUA